rnacentral:rRNA from 1 species
GACGAACGCUGGCGGCGUGCUUAACACAUGCAAGUCGAGCGGUAAGGCCCUUUCGGGGGUACGACGAGCGGCGAACGGGUGAGUAACACGUGGGUGACCUGCCCUUACGCUCUGGGGAGUAAGCCUGGGAAACGUAGGGUCGUAAUACCGGAUAUGACUCCAUGACGCAUGUUGUGGGGUGGAAAGCCUUGUGCGGCUAGGGAUGGGCCCGCGGCCUAUCAGCUUGUUGGUGGGGUGAUGGCCUACCAAGGCGACGACGGGUAGCCGGCCUGAGAGGGCGACCGGCCACACUGGGACUGAGACA